AGGACGAACGCUGGCGGCGUGCUUAACACAUGCAAGUCGAGCGGAAAGGCCCUUCGGGGUACUCGAGCGGCGAACGGGUGAGUAACACGUGAGCAAUCUGCCCUUAGCUUCGGGAUAGCCCCGGGAAACCGGGAUUAAUACCGAAUAUGACCUCGGCCGACAUCGGCUUUGGUGGAAAGUUUUUCGGCUAGGGAUGAACUCGCGGCCUAUCAGCUUGUUGGUGGGGUAAUGGCCUACCAAGGCGACGACGGGUAGCCGGCCUGAGAGGGCGACCGGCCACACUGGGACUGAGACACGGCCCAGACUCCUACGGGAGGCAGCAGUGGGGAAUAUUGCGCAAUGGGCGAAAGCCUGACGCAGCGACGCCGCGUGGGGGAUGAAGGCCUUCGGGUUGUAACCCUUUCAGCAGGACGAAGCGAGAGUGACGGUACCUGCAGAAGAAGCGCCGGCUAACUACGUGCCAGCAGCCGC
rnacentral:rRNA from 1 species